GACGUAGGAGGCGAGCGUUAUCCGGAUUCACUGGGCGUAAAGCGCAUGUAGGCGGUUGGACAAGUCGUGUGUUAAAGCCCCUGGCUCAACUGGGGGAGGUCAUGCGAGACUGUGCGACUUGAGGGCAAGAGAGGCACGUGGAACUCCCGGUGUAGCGGUGGAAUGCGUAGAGAUCGGGAAGAACACCAGUGGCGAAGGCGACGUGCUGGGUUGCACCUGACGCUGAGAUGCGAAAGUGUGGGGAGCAAACAGG
rnacentral:rRNA from 1 species